rnacentral:rRNA from 1 species
AACGAACGCUGGCGGCAGGCUUAACACAUGCAAGUCGAACGCAUCCUUCGGGGUGAGUGGCAGACGGGUGAGUAACGCGUGGGAACGUGCCCUUCAGUUCGGGAUAACCCAGGGAAACUUGGGCUAAUACCGGAUACGUGCGAGAGCAGAAAGAUUUAUCGCUGAAGGAUCGGCCCGCGUCUGAUUAGCUAGUUGGUGGGGUAAUGGCCCACCAAGGCGACGAUCAGGAGCUGGUCUGAGAGGAUGAUCAGCCACAUUGGGACUGAGACACGGCCCAAACUACUACGGGAGGCGGCAGUGGGGAAUAUUGGACAAUGGGCGCAAGCCUGAUCCAGCCAUGCCGCGUGAGUGAUGAAGGCCUUAGGGUUGUAAAGCUCUUUCGUCCGGGACGAUAAUGACGGUACCGGAAGAAGAAGCCCCGGCUAACUUCGUGCCAGCAGCCGCGGUAAGAC